GCCCCAAUAGCUAGCCCAACUUAAAAACACAACAACCCAUAUUAAUAACCCCACAACACCUACCCCUAAAUAAGUAAACCAUUUUUCCGCCUAAGUAUCUGCGACAGAAAAGGAC
rnacentral:rRNA from 1 species